AUUGAACGCUGGCGGCAUGCCUUACACAUGCAAGUCGAACGGUAACGGGCCUUCGGGUGCCGACGAGUGGCGAACGGGUGAGUAAUACAUCGAAACGUGCCCGAUCGUGGGGGAUAACGAGGCGAAAGCUUUGCUAAUACCGCAUACGAUCUACGGAUGAAAGCAGGGGACCGCAAGGCCUUGCGCGGACGGAGCGGCCGAUGGCAGAUUAGGUAGUUGGUGGGAUAAAAGCUUACCAAGCCGACGAUCUGUAGCUGGUCUGAGAGGAUGAUCAGCCACACUGGGACUGAGACACGGCCCAGACUCCUACGGGAGGCAGCAGUGGGGAAUUUUGGACAAUGGGCGCAAGCCUGAUCCAGUCAUGCCGCGUGCAGGAUGAAGGCCUUCGGGUUGUAAACUGCUUUUGUACGGAACGAAAAGCCUUCUUUUAAUACAGGAGGGUCAUGACGGUACCGUAAGAAUAAGCACCGGCUAACUACGUG
rnacentral:rRNA from 1 species